UAAUUUGCCUUGCUUUCUUUCAUGGUCCUUACUUUCUGUUUGGCAGCUUGUUUCACUUACAACUGAGUUCUUGGGUUCCACUUUGUUGUUGGAAACUACUUACUGGUGGAGCUGCCGCUUGGUUCAUAGGAUCAUCUUGCUGUGGUCGCGUGAAAGGAUGGUGUUCGUGAUCUAUAUCAUGGAAAAUAUUUCCUGGAAUGCCUCUAGGGUAUGUGGAAGACUGGAUUUGAUAUUAUCCUGGAAUGGAAACUAUUGGUGUGCAACUGAAGAAUAUAUUUCAUGACCGAGAGAUGGUAUUUGGAGAAUCUUAGUUUUGAUAUGUACAUGAAUCUUCUUUUAUUUUG